UAAAAAAACAAACCCUGGUUUCCAUACCUAACAUUUGACCAUCCGUCUUAUUUAAAAAAAUUAUGAAAAAAAUUAAAAAGACAAGUCACGCAUAAAAUAUUAAUCAUGUUUUAUCAUCUAACAACAAUAAAAAUACGAAUUAUAAAAAAAUUUUAUAUAAGACGGACAGUCAAAGUUGGACACGAAAACCCAGGGUUUAUUUUUUG
rfam:Oryza glumipatula chromosome 1, whole genome shotgun sequence.